rnacentral:rRNA from 1 species
GACGAACGCUGGCGGCGUGCUUAAUACAUGCAAGUCGAGCGAACAGACGAGGAUGUUGCUCCGCUGACGUUAGCGGCGGAGGGGAGAGUAACACGUGGAUAACCUACCUAUAAGACUGGGAGAAUUUCGGGAAACCGGAGCUAAUACCGGAUAAUAUAUUGAAGCGCAUUGUUCAAUAGUGAAAGACGGUUUUUCGGUCACUUAUAGCUGGAUCCGCGCCGCAUUAGCUAGUUGGUAAGGUAACGGCUUAGCAAGGCAAGGAUGCAUAGCCGGCCGCAGAGCGUGAUCGGCCACCUGGGAUGUGAGACGGGGCCCAGACACCUGCGGGAGGACGCAGUAGGGAAUCGUACGCAAUGGGGGAGAGCGUGACGGAGCAACGCCGCGUCAGUGCUGAAGGUGCCCGGAUCGGAAAACUCUGUUAUUCGGGAAGAACAAAUGUGUAAGUAGCUGUGAACGUAUUGACGGUACCUGAUCAAGAAGCCACGGCUAACUACGUG